GGAGAGGUGGCUGAGUGGUCGAAAGCGCAUGACUCGAAAUCAUGUAUAUCCGAAAGGGUAUCGAGGGUUCGAAUCCCUCCCUCUCCGCCA
rnacentral:tRNA from 1 species